rnacentral:lncRNA from 1 species
GUCACAAAGGACAUUAAAGCUUCUGCCUUACUCUGUGAGAUCCCUCAGCUCUUAGGGGAAGCCAGCUGCGGUGUCAAGAGGACACGCAAGCAGCCCUACAGUUUCUUGGGAGUUUGCUCUUAUUGCCGGCUGGAGUGCAAUGGCACGAUCUUGCUUCACCACAACUUCCGCCCCCCUGGUUCAAGCGAUUCUCCUGCCUCAGCUUCCCGAGUAGCUGGGAUUACAGGUGAGACUGAUUUCCUAAAUGGAGGUCUUGAUGCACUGCCCAAGAGCCAACAGUGGAAAUUGCAAGGCUUCUUAAGGCCCAUGCUUGUAAGUUGCAUUACAUCACUGUUAGCAAAUUUCAAGUCAAGAGCAAGUCUGAAGAGCAGCCCAGAUUCAAGAGCUGAGAAAAUAGACGUCAUGUCUUGAUGGAGAAAGUAAAAAAGUCACAAUGCAAAAGAGCCUGAAUACUAUGAUGAAAGAAAUUUGUGGUCAUAUUUUGUAAUCCACCACACCAGCCUUUUGGUUUUCCAGAUGCAUGUCAAACACAGCUCAAUGAGUCCCUGUAACUGCAGAAGACUUAUAUGGAGCUCUCUGAGUGAUUUUAUGGAAUAACCUCCCUCAUACUGGGCUUGAGGGGAGGCAAGAUGAAGGGUAGAAGGGCACACAGAACUGCUCAUUCCAAAGAAAUCCUCUCCAAACACCCUCCUCAUUUCUAAUGUCCCCAUCCUUUCACACCAUCAUCAUGGGUAAGGUGUUUAAGAGUUAGGUAAUACAAUUGCAGAUGACUCU